GAUCACUGGCUCAGGAUGAACGCUAGCUACAGGCUUAACACAUGCAAGUCGAGGGGAAACGACAUCGAAAGCUUGCUUUUGAUGGGCGUCGACCGGCGCACGGGUGAGUAACGCGUAUCCAACCUGCCCACCACUUGGGGAUAACCUUGCGAAAGUAAGACUAAUACCCAAUGAUAUCUCUAGAAGGCAUCUGAAAGAGAUUAAAGAUUUAUCGGUGAUGGAUGGGGAUGCGU
rnacentral:rRNA from 1 species